rnacentral:tRNA from 1 species
GAAUAGAUAGUUUAUUUAAAACAAUGACUUGUGGCGUCAUAAAUGCAAUAAUUCUCUGCUCUACUCC